ACCUUUUCACCAGUUUUGCAAUUAUCAGGUUUUCUUUUUCUUUGCUUAUUCGCUUUCCUAAUCUGAGAUUCAAGGUCCUCAUAUGUACAUAUAUAUUUACAUAGCUGGUCUGUUUAGUUAUUUUUCAUGUGUAUAGUCUCUUGGGUAUGUCGGUAAGUAUCAACCCAUGUUUUGGUUCCCCUUUCAAUUUCCUCAGUUAAUUGAUUCAAUGGAUAUUUACUAACUCUCUAUGUUUGCAGGUAAGUGCUCUUAGGCAAGCUGUAUAAUUGGGAGUUAUAUAUUGGAGUAGAUAGUUGUUCGGGUUGUGCACAACAGACUCGGUCGCGUGUUGUUCUGCUUAGAGGAAGAAGAGGAGGUCUGAAUAUUGAAAAACAAAGAAAAAGGAGCUGGGAAAGCGAAUAAGAUGUGUCCAGGUAUGCGGCGUUGAAACCGAAUGUCCUGAAGAAGAGGUUUUUUCCAGGAACGAACAAGGUGCUGAUCAGAUUGAAACAGCUCCAAUUCAUGGAGAUGCGUCAGUUGAGAAUGCAAAUAUAAUAGGUAUGCCUAAAGAAUUGUUAAUUAGAUCAGAUGUAGAGUCUCAAUGGUUUGUUAUUAAGCCCUGACAACAAGCUAUGAACCCUAAAUGGCAACAAUCUCUACAGGCCUGUAAGGUUUGCUUCGAUAACUUGGGUUUUAGGCAUAAAAUGGGUUUAGGAGCAUGAACCUCCUCAAGAGGAGGUUGGAGUAUGAAAGAUCAUUACUCUUUAACAGACUUGGAUUAAAUAUGUGAGUUAAGCAAAAGAAAAGAUGCAUCUUAUGUUUAUCAAAUACCUUUAAUUACUUAUUUAAUGUUGUAUUAUCUAUGACUAGAUCGGCAGAAUAAUUGAACAUUUCUUUGCAUUUGUGUGAAUGCCUGUGUGAAUGACUGACUGACAUUGUUGCUUAAUAUUCAAAGUACAAUUUAAGAGACUAUACACAUAUAUGACAGAGAUAAACCAGAGUUUAUCAUAAUUGCAGAUAGACAUUGUUACUGUGUAUAAUAAUCACCUGUGGACAUCAUCAUGUCCUUUCUUUAAUCUUUUGGUUAUAGAUUACAUGAUAGAACAUAAAGUGUCCAUUCACAUAUUUGAGCAGAGAAUCCAGUGGAACAACUGAGCUUCAUUACUAGAAAAGUAAAAAGAUGAAGCCUGGUGUGGCACACUAUCUUACCGCUCCUGAUGUGUGCUAAGGUAUUGUGGUAAGCUUGAUCCAUGGUUUUUAGUGUUAAUAUUGAGCUCAGUGAGAAUCAUAGUCCUUGGAUUUUAUAGUUUGAAGAAAUUUUAAGAUUCCCUAUUUGCGUUUUUUGUUCGUUUUGAUUUCAAACUUUUCAAGCAUCAUUAUUUGAGACUCCAAAAACUGACCCAAAGAAAGUUGUUUCUAUCUUGGGUGGAGGUGCUGGAACUUGGCGGUUUCCACUCAUUAGCAGAAGAGCCAAGCCAACAGUAAGAUAUUACUCGUUACUUUUUUGUUGUUCAAUCGAAGGUUUCCAUAUUGCAGAAUAGUUUAGUAUUGAAACUCAUAUAUUGUGGAUUUGGUUAAAAUAAGAACUAUAGUUCUUAGUUUUAUACAAAAUCAAAGCUUUCCUGAUAUUGUGUAGUAAUACUUGAAACUAUCUUGCAUCAAAUGAGAUUCGGCAUAUUUCUGAACUUCUCACCAUGAGGAGCUCAAAACUGAGGUAGUCACAGGUUCUCAAAUUUUGGAAGCUCAAUAUGCAAAUAUGUAACAGCAAUUUGAUCAAAAAAUGAGCAGAAAGAGUUUCUUUGAAAAUUUGGCGUAUCAAGGAACAUCAGGAGAUAAACAAGACUUGCCAUGAAGAUUUCAGUUCUGAAGCAGCAACAGAUUUGCAACCUUUUAAAGAUGAAUGUGCAGAAGGAUUGUAAGAGCUUGGCUGAAGAAAUGAUGGAGGGAUCCUAUAUACAUAAUGAUGAGAAGAAAAAGCUUCUUUGAUUCUUUGAAGAUACGAAAAUUGAAGAAACAAGAGACUCAUGUACCAUACAAGAUGGACAUGUACCCAUACAACAGGAGUCUUAUACCAUUACCAAAAUGAUGGUUACCCUGUUUGAUGUCAAUGAAAGUGUGACAGUUUGGAAUGUUGGAUACUGAAAAACCAUUUCUUUCAUAUUGUAGAGUUAAUUGUUUUUAUUUACUGUGAUAGUUUAUUCAAUAUUUGAACAAUUAUU